rnacentral:rRNA from 1 species
GACGAACGCUGGCGGCGUGCUUAAUACAUGCGAGUCGAACGGAAAGGCCCUGCUUUUGUGGGGUGCUCGAGUGGCGAACGGGUGAGUAACACGUGAGUAACCUGCCCUUGACUUUGGUAUAACUUCAGGAAACUGGGGCUAAUACCGGAUAGGAGCUCCUGCUGCAUGGUGGGGGUUGGAAAGUUUCGGCGGUUGGGUAUGGACUCGCGGCUUAUCAGCUUGUUGGUGGGGUAGUGGCUUACCAAGGCUUUGACGGGUAGCCGGCCUGGGAGGGUGACCGGCCACAUUGGGACUGAGAUACGGCCCAGACUCCUACGGGAGGCAGCAGUGGGGAGUAUUGCACAAUGGGCGGAAGCCUGAUGCAGCAACGCCGCGUGCGGGAUGACGGCCUUCGGGUUGUAAACCGCUUUCGCCUGUGACGAAGCGUGAGUGACGGUAAUGGGUAAAGAAGCACCGGCUAACUACGUG